rnacentral:lncRNA from 1 species
GCCUGAACAUCAUCAUAGGCCUGAACACCACCAGACCACGACCCGGCGCGGCGGUUCACUGUGCUCUCCUGUCACGUGUUGUUGCUAGGAAAGCUGCCGCUAUGCAUUUACGAUGACGGAUGAGGAGACUAUAUAGGUGACAACACUUUGGCUUUGUUAGUUACAAAAACAUUUCAAGAUUCAUAUAACAUCGAAUCUUGCGACAUAUGCAU